AAUCAAAACUCUCAAAGUUUGACCUCAAAUCAGGUAGGAAUACCCGCUGAACUUAAGCAUAUCAAUAAGCGGAGGAAAAGAAACCAACCGGGAUUGCCUUAGUAACGGCGAGUGAAGCGGCAAAAGCUCAAAUUUGAAAUCUGGCGUCUUCGACGUCCGAGUUGUAAUUUGAAGAAGGCAACUUUGUAGCUGGUCCUUGUCUAUGUUCCUUGGAACAGGACGUCAUAGAGGGUGAGAAUCCCGUGUGGCGAGGAUCCCAGUUAUUUGUAAAGUGCUUUCGACGAGUCGAGUUGUUUGGGAAUGCAGCUCUAAGUGGGUGGUAAAUUCCAUCUAAAGCUAAAUAUUGGCGAGAGACCGAUAGCGAACAAGUACAGUGAUGGAAAGAUGAAAAGAACUUUGAAAAGAGAGUGAAAAAGUACGUGAAAUUGUUGAAAGGGAAGGGCAUUUGAUCAGACAUGGCGUUUGCUUCGGCUUUCGCUGGGCCAGCAUCAGUUUUAGCGGUUGGAUAAAUCCUCGGGAAUGUGGCUCUGCUUCGGUAGAGUGUUAUAGCCCGUGGGAAUACAGCCAGCUGGGACUGAGGAUUGCGACUUUUGUCAAGGAUGCUGGCGUAAUGGUUAAAUGCCGCCCGUCUUGAAACACGGACCAAGGAGUCUAACGUCUAUGCGAGUGUUUGGGUGUAAAACCCGUACGCGUAAUGAAAGUGAACGUAGGUGAGGGCCCGCAAGGGUGCAUCAUCGACCGAUCCUGAUGUCUUCGGAUGGAUUUGAGUAAGAGC
rnacentral:rRNA from 1 species